rnacentral:rRNA from 1 species
AACCUGGUUGAUCCUGCCAGUAGUCAUAUGCUUGUCUCAAAGACUAAGCCAUGCAUGUCUAAGUAUAAGUAUUAUACAGCGAAACUGCGAAUGGCUCAUUAAAACAGUUAUAAUUUAUUUGAUAAUCGAAUUUACAUGGAUAACCGUGGUAAUUCUAGAGCUAAUACAUGCUGGUAGGCCCGACUUUUUGGAAGGGCGGUAUUUAUUAGAUAACAAACCAAUAUUCCUCUGGUCUAUUGUGGUGAAUCAUAAUAACUGAUCGAAUCGCAAGGUUUUUAACCGCGAUAAGUCAUUCAAGUUUCUGCCCCAUCAGCUUUCGAUGGUAGUGUAUUGGACUACCAUGGCUUUUACGGGUAACGGAGGAUUAGGGUUCGAUUCCGGAGAGGGAGCCUGAGAAACGGCUACCACAUCUAAGGAAGGCAGCAGGCGCGUAAAUUACCCAAUCCUGACUCAGGGAGGUAGUGACAAGAAAUAACGGACCGAGGCCUUCGGGCUUCGGGAUUGCAAUGAGCCGAAUUUACACCCCUUAGCGAAGAUCGAUUGGAGGGCAAGUCUGGUGCCAGCAGCCGCGGUAAUUCCAGCUCCAAUAGCGUAUAUUAAUGUUGUUGCAGUUAAAAAGCUCGUAGUGGAU